AUGGGGAGACCCUGGCAGCUGUUCCCACACCUGCUGCUACUGCUGGUGAACAUUCCCUGGGGGAGCUGCCAGGCUGAGGUGCACCAGGACCUGUCUGAGGUCACUCGGGAAGGGCAGAACGGCAGCAUCUCUUGCCACUACACGACAAGUAAUUUCGGGAGUGUGCAGUGGUUCACGCAGCUGCCCAGAGGCCAGCCUGUCUCCCUGCUGAUUCUGGUAUCCAAUGGGAAACAAACCAAGGAGCCCAACCUCACCGCGGAGCUCGACAAGGGGAAGCGGCUGAGUUCCCUGCACAUCAGAGAAUCACAGCUGGGAGACGCAGCCACCUACUUCUGCGCCGUGGCGACACAGCGACACAGGAGCACUGGCAGCCUGUGCAAACACUCCCCAGCUAGAGGGUAA